GCCCGGUUAGCUCAAUCGGUAGAGCGUGAGACUCUUAAUCUCAAGGUUGCGGGUAAGUUACAUGUUCAAACACACGAAUAUAUGCCA